rnacentral:misc_RNA from 1 species
AAUUUAAUUUUAAAUUAUUUUUAACUCUCUAACUAAUAUAUUAAAAAAAUGCUUUUCUCAACGGCAAAUCCAACAGUAAUGCUAAAUUGAUCAUAUAUGGAUAAGAUAAUUGAGUUCAGAAUUGAAUAUGUUCAAUGUCAGAUUGAAUAAAGGAAUGUCAAAUCAGUAGUAAAAAUAAGAGGUUCACAAAGUGAAUGAGGAGUCCACCUCUUUGCAUCAGAUCAUGAGAGGAGGUCAUUCUGUUUUUCAAAGGGAUUUCAACAUCAUUUAUGA